UGAAUUGACAAUUGUGACAAAUCGUUGAAUGACGUUUCGCACAUUGUAUACUAUAUUUAUUUAAAAUAUUUUAUUAUUUAACAUUUUACAUAUUAUUCUGUGUAUUUCAAAAUUCAUUAUGUCGUCCUUAAUGGUUCGCACAGAUGUAACAGCAGUUAAACUACACAGAAAUGUAAUUCUUGCCGGCAUUGGUAGUUACUUGAAUGUAUUCAGCAUGAAACCCAGUAAUUUAUUUCAAAGAUUACACUGUUUAAAUGGUCAAAAAAUAUAUGGAAUCAUACCCUCAUUUGAUUCAAAUAAAAUUAUUGUUUAUGGGGGUAAGCAGUUUACUAUAGUAUCUGAACGUGCAAAAUUUGAGAGGGUAAUGGAUCCUAUAGUAUGUGAUGACUGGCUACACUCUGGUAUAUGGGUCACUGUUGAUGAAAUGGCUUUGUUGACUGCACAUAGUGUUGUUCAGGUGUGGGACACAAAAACAGGCAUAUUGCAGACCAAACAUGCAAGCAAGGAGAACUCUAUCUUAUAUAGUGGCACUAUCCAGCGGUUGCAGGAUGACUUGUUGGUGUUAGCUGGAACUGUCUUUUCUGAGGUCAUCAUACAUAGCUGUAAGACUGCAAAGGCCUUGCAUUAUUUGAAGGGACACAAGGGUGUAAUAUUCUCAAUAUCUUGCAAUUCAAAAAAUGGUAUAAUAGUAACUACAUCCGAUGAUAGAUCUGUCUGUAUUUGGAGCAUAAGCAAUAUGAACUCAAUGGCUAAAUUAGCUCAUGAUACCAUAGAGUUCUGGCAGCGAGCAAACAUAGUCUGUUCUCAUAAAGUUUAUGGCCACACAGCCAGGGUCAUGAGAAGUUGCAUCACGAAAAAUGUACUGGUGUCAGUAGGUGAAGAUUCUGCUAUAUGUUUUUGGAGUUUUGAUGGGAAGUUGUUAAAAAAGAUUGUGAGUCACCAAAAUAGUGGUGUUUGGUCUGUGAAUGCUGAUGAUGAACAUUUAGUAACAGGUGGAGGUGAUGGCAGUGUGAUCAUUCACCCUCUAUCAACAGCAACUGAUCAUGGAGAGAAUAUUGUUUUAAAUAUAGCUGAGGGUACACCAAAGAAAAUAGUUUUUACUGCUAGAAGGAAUAUAAUCAUAUUGAAUGACACUGAUGAUUUAAUUCAUUAUGAUGUUAAGAAUGAAGUCAAAGCUAUUUAUAAUUUAAAACACGAAUCUAGUUAUAAGUUAAUCAGCUUAUCGUCUUGUAAACAAAUGGUAGCAGUAGCAGAUAUGAGUGGAAACUUGGAUGUUUUUGUAGAAAAUUGUAAAGCUGCAGCAACUUUACUAAAUAUCAUAAAUUGCAAAUUAGAUUUUGGCAAAGUGCUGUCAUUACAUUGGGCUGGUAACAGACAUUUAAUUUUAGGGUGCGAAUGGGGAUUAUUAAAGCUUUUGGCAUGUAAUGGAAAUAAAAUAGAAGAAUUUGCAGAAUUUUUUCUUCCAGUGUGCAAAGAAAGAUGGCUGACAGCUUGUAACAUUGAUUCUACUGGCACUGUGAUCAUUGUUGGUGACAGAUGUGGGAAUAUUCAUGUGUAUAAAAGAGGAAUUAAAUCUCCUUUUAAAACUUUUAAUAAGGUUCAUGGAAGAUAUGGUCCUACUUCAAUUGUGGUGAAGAAAGAUGGAUUUGUCAGUACUGGUCGAGAUGGCAGUAUAAAAUACUUUGAUGUAACUAAUCAAGAGAAGUUUGUAGCAAACUAUAUGAAUAGUAAAGAUCUAGAAUUCCAGUGGGUUGAAAAAUUCAUAGACAAGGAUGGGAAUAUGAUCUGUGGCUUUCAUGAGAGAGUGUUUGUUAUCUAUGAUUUGAAGACUAACAGCAAGUUAUUAGAUGUAGCAUGUGGAGGAGGACAUAGAUCAUGGGAUGUAGUCAGAUAUAUUGAGAAAGUAAAUGGUAAUUUUGAUGAGUGUAUAAAAUUUAUGUAUGUAAAGAAUUUAGAUAUACACAUACACACUUUUCAGCUAAGCAAAACUGUUUCGACUAAUAUUGUAAGUGGGUCACAUUGCAAAGAGAUUAAUUGUUUAGAAAUUGUAAGAAUUGAUUCAUGUAAUUUUUGUAUUUCUGGAGGAGAAGAUACAACUUUGAGGAUAUCGUCAAUGGAAGAUUUAGAUUUGCAAGAUAGAGUGAUUUACAAACAUUUAUCUAAUGUAAGAACAGUGAAAGCUAAAUGUUUAGGACAUAAUAAGUAUAUUUUAAUUUCUGCGGGAGGUAGAGCUCAAAUAUGUAUAAAAAUAUUAAACUUUAUCAAAGAAACUAACGAAGUCAUUGUUAAAUCACAAAAUUUGAUUGAUUUCAUGAUCAAGGGUCCUGAAAAAGAGAGGAAAGGGAAACAAUCAUGGAAAAACUGUACCAUAGAUUUCGAUCCAGAGACAAGAAUAAUGGCUAUAGACUUAUUGCAAAUAGACGAAGAUAACUUUGUAAUUUUUGCUGGAUGUUCCGACGCGUUGCUUAGAAUUUUCAAGUUGAAUAUUAAAAAUGCUGAUUUCAAACAUGUCAAAGACUUUAAAAAUCAUAAAACUUGUAUAUUGAAAACCAGAUAUUUCAAAUUUAAUGAUGAAAAUCUUUUAUUUACUUGUUCCACAAGAGGUGAAGUUAUUAUUUGGAAUGUAAUUUUAAAGUAUGAACAAAUAGAUAUUGAACCUGUAUUCAAUAUUUAUACUAACAAAUCUGGAAUAAACAGUGUUGAUAUUAGAAUUAUAUCAGAAACACAUUUCUUAUUAGCGACUGGUGGCGACGACAAUACAAUACAUCUAAAUCUUCUUAAAAUUGCUCAAAAUUACAGAAUGGAAUUCGAAAUUUGUAAUAAAUUGUCUAUGGAUAGUGUUCAUUGUUCACAAAUCACUGGUUUGAUAUUAUUGGAUAAUAUUUUAAUGUCUGCGUCAGUAGACCAAAGAGUUACAUUGUUUAAAUGGUCUGUAAAAGAUGAUGUGUUAAAUACUGAGUACGUAUCUCAAACUUACAGCGAUGUUUCCGAUAUACAGGGCAUGGAUCUUGUAGAUUAUUCAAACAAAAGCGUUAUUAUCUGCGUAUUCGGCAAAGGCGUGGAGCUGAUCGAGAUGGCGCUGCCUGGCUGAAAGAUUAUUGUGUUGAAAACAAUGGAGUGGAUUACAUAAGCAACCUUCGGCAUAUUAUACAUGGCGCCAACACUGAAGAAGGUGGUGGAAGCGGUGACCCUGGGCGAGGGCCCGCACUGGGCCCACGAGGAGCAAGUGCUGUACUUCGUCAGCACGUACGACCGCUCCAUACACCGGUACGACCCGGCGACCGGCGCU